rnacentral:rRNA from 1 species
GUGAGGAAUAUUGGGCAAUGGGCGCAAGCCUGACCCAGCCAUGCCGCGUGCAGGAAGACGGUCCUAUGGAUUGUAAACUGCCUUUAUACGGGAAGAAACACUCCCUCGUGAGGGAGCUUGACGGUACCGUAAGAAUAAGGAUCGGCUAACUCCGUGCCAGCAGCCGCGGUAAUACGGAGGAUCCAAGCGUUAUCCGGAAUCAUUGGGUUUAAAGGGUCCGUAGGCGGCCUUAUAAGUCAGUGGUGAAAUCCCAUCGCUCAACGAUGGAACUGCCAUUGAUACUGUAAGGCUUGAAUAAUUGUGAAGUAACUAGAAUAUGUAGUGUAGCGGUGAAAUGCUUAGAUAUUACAUGGAAUACCAAUUGCGAAGGCAGGUUACUAACAAUUGAUUGACGCUGAUGGACGAAAGCGUGGGGAGCGAACAGGAUUAGAUACCCUAGUAGUCC